UAAGAACUGAAUUCUGUAGGCUGUGAGCUCCAGCAAAUGCCUUAGGGACUCAGUUCUGGA
rnacentral:pre_miRNA from 1 species